rnacentral:ncRNA from 1 species
GUUCGAAAAGGCAAGCUCCGGGUAACCGGAGUACGCAAAGCUAUGCGCCCUGCACCGUACGGUACAGGGUCGGCAGGCUGCCGAAA